rnacentral:misc_RNA from 1 species
GUGAAUCAUCGAAUCUUUGAACGCACAUUGCGCCCGCUAGUACUCUAGCGGGCAUGCCUGUUCGAGCGUCAUUUCAACCCUCAAGCCCUGCUUGGUGUUGGGGCCCUACGGCUGCCGUAGGCCCUGAAAGGAAGUGGCGGGCUCGCUACAACUCCGAGCGUAGUAAUCUUUUAUCUCGCUAGGGAAGUGUGGCGCGCUCCUGCCGUUAAAGACCCCAUCUUUAACCAAGGUUGACCUCGGAUCAGGUAGGAAUACCCGCUGAACUUAAGCAUAUCAAUAAGCGGAGGA